GUGAUUGGUCAUCUGACUCACUCUUACCUCCUCUGCAAUUUUGAAGUAGAAAAAACAUUGAUUGAUAGCGAGAACAAGCAUUUCUUCAGGAAAAACAGCAGCAUGUAGCUCCAGGCAAGAGAACUAGGAGCAGUUUGGCACACAUGGCUUCUAACCCAAAGAAAAUGGAGAUCCGUCAUUUCUGCUGAAACCUUAGAGGCAUGUAGCAAAUGAGAUAUGUACAAGUUCUACUAUGACAAGCAAAGAACGUGACACCAAAACUUAAUAAGCCUUGAAAAGUCACAGGUAACUGCUGUAAAUUGCAAAUACAAAAAUGACUGACAAUCA